GAGUUUGAUCCUGGCUCAGGAUGAACGCUAGCGGCAGGCUUAAUACAUGCAAGUCGAGGGGCAUCAAGGUACACGAAAGUGUAUUGUUGGCGACCGGCGGACGGGUGAGUAAUAGGUAGGUAACCUACCUCAUACUGAGGCAUAGCUGGGAGAAAUUCCAGGUAAUUCCUCAUGAGGUUAUAUGACACAUGUGAUAUAAUCAAAGGUAUCGCAAGGUACUGGUAUGAGAUGGGCUUACUGACCAUUAGCUAGUUGGUGAGAUAAGAGCUCACCAAGGCGAAGAUGGUUAGGGGUUUUGAGAGAGAGAUCCCCCACAUUGGAACUGAGAUACGGUCCAGACUCCUACGGGAGGCAGCAGUAGGGAAUAUUGGGCAAUGGGCGGAAGCCUGACCCAGCCAUGCCGCGUGAAGGAAGACGGCCUUAUGGGUUGUAAACUUCUUUACUAUGCGACUAACUAGAUUUACGAGAUAAUUCUAUAGAAUGUAGCAUAGCAAAAAGCACCGGCUAACUCCGUGCCAGCAGCCGCGGUAAUACGGAGGGUGCGAGCGUUAUUCGGAAUUACUGGGUUUAAAGGGUGCGUAGGCGGCUAAGUAAGUUGUCAUUGAAAGGCUACAGCUCAACUGUAGUAGUGGUGGCGAUACUGCUUAGCUAAGAACAUGGGAGGGGUACUUGGAAUGUGUGGUGUAGCGGUGAAAUGCGUAUAUAUCACACAGAACACCAGAGGCGAAGGCGGAGUACUAGACCAUAGUUGACGCUGAGGCACGAAAGCGUGGGGAUCAAACAGGAUUAGAUACCCUGGUAGUCCACGCCCUAAACGAUGAUCACUAGAUAUUGGCGACAAACAGUCAGUGUCCAAGCGAAAGUGAUAAGUGAUCCA
rnacentral:rRNA from 1 species